GUGGGGAAUAUUGCACAAUGGACGAAAGUCUGAUGCAGCAACGCCGCGUGGAGGAUGACACAUUUCGGUGCGUAAACUCCUUUUAUAUAAGAAGAUAAUGACGGUAUUAUAUGAAUAAGCACCGGCUAACUCCGUGCCAGCAGCCGCGGUAAUACGGGGGGUGCAAGCGUUACUCGGAAUCACUGGGCGUAAAGAGCAUGUAGGCGGAUUAAUAAGUUUGAAGUGAAAUCCUAUAGCUUAACUAUAGAACUGCUUUGAAAACUGUUAGUCUAGAAUGUGGGAGAGGUAGAUGGAAUUUCUGGUGUAGGGGUAAAAUCCGUAGAGAUCAGAAGGAAUACCGAUUGCGAAGGCGAUCUACUGGAACAUUAUUGACGCUGAGAUGCGAAAGCGUGGGGAGCAAACAGGAUUAGAUACCCCGGUAGUCC
rnacentral:rRNA from 1 species